AUGAGCCCUAAAUCGCAGUGGUUACGUCUUCUUCAACCGCAAACCCUCCACAAUUGCUCACUUCUUCAACUUGAGGGACAGAGAAACAAACUGUGUGAAAAGAAGCUCUGUUCUGUAGUGAUCACGAAGCUCUUCACCAGCUCAUGCCCACAAAACCAAGACACUUUGAUUCUUCUCAAUCUAAAACCCCAAUUUGUGUAG